rnacentral:rRNA from 1 species
CGUGUAGGUGGCUAAUUAAGUCAGGUGUGAAAUCCUUCCGCUUAACGGAAGAAGUGCACUUGAAACUGCUUAGCUAGAGUACGGGAGAGGAAGGUGGAAUUCCUGGUGUAGAGGUGAAAUUCAUAGAUAUCGGGAAGAACACCGGUGGCGAAGGCGGCCUUCUGGCCCGAUACUGACGCUGAGACGCGAAAGCGUGGGAGCAAACA